rnacentral:rRNA from 1 species
UACAGAGGGUGCAAGCGUUAAUCGGAUUUACUGGGCGUAAAGCGUGUGUAGGUGGCUUCCUAAGUCGGUUGUGAAAUCCCUGGGCUCAACCUGGGAAUUGCAGUCGAUACUGGGAAGCUAGAGUUCGGUAGAGGACGGCGGAAUUCCUGGUGUAGCGGUGAAAUGCGCAGAGUAUCAGGAGGAACACCGAUGGCGAAGGCAGGUCUCGUGGGCAUUAACUGACGCUGAGGAGCGAAAGCAUGGGGAGCGAACAGG